CCCUUAGAUGUUCUGGGCCGCACGCGCGCUACACUGAUGCAUUCAACGAGUGUACCUUGGCCGAGAGGCCUGGGCAAUCUUUUGAACGUGCAUCGUGAUAGGGAUAGAUUAUUGCAAUUAUUAAUCUUGAACGAGGAAUUCCUAGUAAACGCAGUUCAUCAAACUGCAUUGAUUACGUCCCUGCCCUUUGUACACACCGCCCGUCGCACCUACCGAUUGGUUGGUCCGGUGAAGCCUCGGGAUUGUGGCGGUUGCCUUUAUUGGUGGCCGCCGCGAGAACUUGUCUAAACCUUAUCAUCUAGAGGAAGGUGAAGUCGUAACA
rnacentral:rRNA from 1 species